GACGUAGGAGGCGAGCGUUGUCCGGAUUCAUUGGGCGUAAAGCGUGCGCAGGCGGUUUUGUAAGCCAGAUGUGAAAUCCCCGGGCUUAACCUGGGAAUGGCAUUUGGGACUGCAAGGCUGGAGUUUGGCAGAGGAGACUGGAAUUCCUGGUGUAGCAGUGAAAUGCGUAGAUAUCAGGAGGAAUACCGAUGGCGAAGGCAGGUCUCUGGGCUAUAACUGACGCUCAUGCACGAAAGCGUGGGGAGCAAACAGG
rnacentral:rRNA from 1 species